UUAGAAGAUGCAACAGAUCUCGUUUUGACAAUAUUCUGAGAUACAAUUUAAAUAUCAUGGUCAUGAUCGAUGUGAAUAAAUUUAACUAUCCGCCAUUGCCGUUAAUACGGUUUUAACGCAUUUGAACUUUGCUCUGCAUUCACAAUCUUUCAAAAAUUACUCUACUCUAUUAUUUAUGUUUUAUGGUCUUAUGCUUAUAGCGUUGUAAACUUUUUUUGUAGUCCAAAAUUGUAAGUUUUAAUGAAAGUGGUGUUCCAAAAAAAAAAAUCUAAAUUUCAUAACUAAGAGUAAAACGUUAGCCUGAUGUGGUAGCAAUGUGUUCGACCUUAAUCAUGGUCAUACCAACCAAUGGAAAAACGCUUUAACUAAUUAUUUU
rnacentral:lncRNA from 1 species